rnacentral:rRNA from 1 species
UACGUAGGGGGCCAGCGUUGUCCGGAAUCAUUGGGCGUAAAGCGCGCGUAGGCGGUCAGGUAAGUCCGGUGUGAAAGUCAAAGGCUCAACCUUUGAAUGCCGCUGGAUACUGCUUGACUUGAGUCCGGAAGGGGCGAGUGGAAUUCCUGGUGUAGCGGUGAAAUGCGCAGAUAUCAGGAGGAACACCAAUGGCGAAGGCGGAUCUCUGGGCCUGUUCUGACGCUGAGGCGCGAAAGCUAGGGGAGCGAACAGG